UACAGAGGUCUCAAGCGUUGUUCGGAUUCAUUGGGCGUAAAGGGUGCGUAGGCGGCGCGGUAAGUCGGGGUGUGAAAUCUCGGAGCUUAACUCCGAAACUGCAUUCGAUACUGCCGUGCUUGAGGACUGGGAGAGGAGACUGGAAUUUACGGUGUAGCGGUGAAAUGCGUAGAUAUCGUAAGGAAGACCAGUGGCGAAGGCGGGUCUCUGGACAGUUCCUGACGCUGAGGCACGAAGGUCAGGGGAGCAAACGGGG
rnacentral:rRNA from 1 species